rnacentral:lncRNA from 1 species
CAAAUCUCUCACCACUGCUUGGUUAAACACGGUGUUACCUGGCUGUGUAGCACUGUGGCAAGCGGUCUACUAAUCCUGAUUGGAUUCUAGGAAUACCAGCAAUGGGAUGGCUGCCACCUGCUGACAGGGAGAAUGGAGGAGGCCAAGGUCAAGCCCAGGGGCAGCCUGCCUUGGUCCUAAGUGUGAGCGGCUGGUGGAGAUGAGCCAGGAGGAGGCAGAAGCUGGUAAGGAGGCUGGUUUUGCCUAGUACAAGGAUUGUUACCAGGGCUCCAUGAAUAGGCUUGGGGCAGUGUCUCAGCCUCUCGAAUGGCCUGUAAAUGUAUGGGCCCAUGGGUGCAUAUGCUUUUUUCUAGGAAGCAGGUUCAUCAUUUUUAUUAGUGUCAUAAUAAUCCAU